ACAUGGCGCUCUGUCGCCAUGAUGCUAACCCGUGAACAUAUUCUCGUACACAUUGAGGAACCGCAUCGGAAGGUGCGUGUUAGCCUGUCGUGCUCCUCGUAAUACCCUUAAGUCGUGGGGUUGAGCACUUGAGCUUGCUUUAGCGGACGAUUUUCGUCGUGAUGGUUUUGGACUAUGGCCCGUUUGGACUUGGAACAUGCCAUUGCGAUAGACCGCAAGAGCACCUCCCCUUGGGUCCCCCGGAUGCCUUCGAGAAUAUCGAAGCAUCGUCAGGAUGCGACUGGAGGGCAACCUCGACAACACAACAAAAACAUGAAACCCCUUGUAUUAAACCCGAUCGUCCUGAUCGUAUUGAAAACCGUGGCUUUCAUAGCCCGCGUUUCGAAAUUAAACUGAAAAACUCUCAACAACGGAUAUCUUGGCUCUCGCAACGAUGAAGAACGCAGCGAAAUGCGAUACGUAGUGUGAAUUGCAGAAUUCCGUGAAUCAUCGAAUGUUUGAACGCAAAUUGCGCCCGAGGCUUCGGCCGAGGGCAUGUCUGCUUGAGCGCCGCUGGACACCCCUCGUCCCAACUUCUCGACCCCACAACCUGGGUGACGAGUGGAGGACGGAACGAUGGUCGCCUCGAAUCCAUGAGACAAGACGGCGGCGCGAGCCCCGUUCGACUCAUCGAGUCGGCUGGAAAAUAAAAGCUCGGCCCGAUUCGUACCGUAACGGCACACUCGGCGUGGACGAAGCAACCCCCGUCGACCCCUGUAACAGGGGUGUCGCGGGAAUAGCGGAUGUUGCCCGGAUGCCGUUUGCGUGCGCAAUUGCGUGUCGAUUUUUAAGCUGUGCCAACGAUCGUGUCAUGUGCACGCUCGUGGAACCCCAAAACCUUGGCCUCAAGUCAG
rnacentral:misc_RNA from 1 species